AAUAAAAUAUACGAAUACGAAAAAUGGGUCGUUACAAUCCUACCCCCCUUAAAAGAAUUUCGCCCUCGAAAUUACCUAGAAACAGAUCGGGAUAAGAAUCUCUCAUCUUGCUUUCUAGCUCCCACGUUGCAUUCUCACCAGCCGGUCCUCCCCACACGACUUUCACGGAUGCAAUCUCUUUGUUUCUCAACCUCUUCACCUCUCUUCCUUCGAUUCUCAAAGGCACAGUCUCGACGGUCAAGUCAUCCCUUACUUGAACAUCGUCCGAUUCAAUCACGU
rnacentral:lncRNA from 1 species